UGUAUAAGAGACAGCAGUAGCCGCGGUAAUACGAAGGGUGCAAGCGUUACUCGGAAUUACUGGGCGUAAAGCGUGCGUAGGUGGUGGUUUAAGUCCGUUGUGAAAGCCCUGGGCUUAACCUGGGAAUUGCAGUGGAUACUGGGUCACUAGAGUGUGGUAGAGGAUAGUGGAAUUUCCGGUGUAGCAGUGAAAUGCGUAGAGAUCGGAAGGAACAUCUGUGGCGAAGGCGACUAUCUGGGCCAACACUGACACUGAGGCACGAAAGCGUGGGGAGCAAACAGGAUUAGAUACCCCGUAGUCCCUGUCUCUUAUACA
rnacentral:rRNA from 1 species